rnacentral:rRNA from 1 species
UUGAACGCUGGCGGCAUGCCUUACCCAUACAAGUCGCACGGCAGCACGGGUGCUUGCCCCUGGUGGCGAGUGGCGAACGGGUGAGUAAUACAUCGGAACAUGUCCUGUAGUGGGGGAUAGCCCGGCGAAAGCCGGAUUAAUACCGCAUACGAUCUACGGAUGAAAGCGGGGGACCUUCGGGCCUCGCGCUAUAGGGUUGGCCGAUGGCUGAUUAGCUAGUUGGUGGGGUAAAGGCCUACCAAGGCGACGAUCAGUAGCUGGUCUGAGAGGACGACCAGCCACACUGGGACUGAGACACGGCCCAGACUCCUACGGGAGGCAGCAGUGGGGAAUUUUGGACAAUGGGCGAAAGCCUGAUCCAGCAAUGCCGCGUGUGUGAAGAAGGCCUUCGGGUUGUAAAGCACUUUUGUCCGGAAAGAAAUCCUUGGCCCUAAUACGGUCGGGGGAUGACGGUACCGGAAGAAUAAGCACCGGCUAACUACGUG